rnacentral:rRNA from 1 species
GACGAACGCUGGCGGCGCGCCUAACACAUGCAAGUCAAACGGAGCUUAGAGAGCUUGCUUUUUAAGCUUAGUGGCGAACGGGUGAGUAACGCGUGAGUAACCUGCCCUAUAGUGGGGGACAACAGUUGGAAACGACUGCUAAUACCGCAUCAGCCCACGGUACCUCAUGGUACUGAGGGAAAAGGAUUUAUUCGCUUUAGGAUGGACUCGCGUCCAAUUAGCUAGUUGGUGAGGUAACGGCCCACCAAGGCGACGAUUGGAAGCCGGACUGAGAGGUUGAACGGCCACAUUGGGACUGACACACGGCCCAGACUCCUACGGGAGGCAGCAGUGGGGGAUAUUGCAUAAUGGGGGAAACCCUGAUGCAGCGACGCCGCGUGGAGGAAGAAGGUUUUCUGAUUGUAAACUCCUGUCGUUAGGGACGAUAAUGACGGUACCUAACGAGAAAGCACCGGCUAACUACGUGCCAGCAGCCGCGGUAAAACGUAGUGGUGCAAGCGUUGUCCGGAAUUACUGGGUGUAAAGGGAGCGCAGGCGGGAAGACAAGUUGGAAGUGAAAACUAUGGGCUCAACCCAUGAAUUGCUUUCAAAACUGUUUUUCUUGAGUAGUGCAGAGGUAGAUGGAAUUCCCGGUGUAGCGGUGGAAUGCGUAGAUAUCGGGAGGAACACCAGUGGCGAAGGCGGUCUACUGGGCACCAACUGACGCUGAGGCUCGAAAGCAUGGGUAGCAAACAGGAUUAGAUACCCUGGUAGUCCAUGCCGUAAACGAUGAUUACUAGGUGUUGGGGGAUUGACCCCCUCAGUGCCGCAGUUAACACAAUAAGUAAUCCACCUGGGGAGUACGACCGCAAGGUUGAAACUCAAAGGAAUUGACGGGGGCCCGCACAAGCAGUGGAGUAUGUGGUUUAAUUCGAAGCAACGCGAAGAACCUUACCAGGUCUUGACAUCCGAUGCAUAGCACAGAGAUGUGUGAAAUCCUUCGGGACAUCGAGACAGGUGGUGCAUGGUUGUCGUCAGCUCGUGUCGUGAGAUGUUGGGUUAAGUCCCGCAACGAGCGCAACCCUUAUUGCCAGUUACUACGUUAAGAGGACUCUGGCGAGACUGCCGUUGACAAAACGGAGGAAGGUGGGGAUGACGUCAAAUCAUCAUGCCCUUUAUGACCUGGGCUACACACGUACUACAAUGGCGUUAAACAAAGAGAAGCAAGACCGCGAGGUGGAGCAAAACUCAAAAACAACGUCUCAGUUCAGAUUGCAGGCUGCAACUCGCCUGCAUGAAGUCGGAAUUGCUAGUAAUCGCGGAUCAGCAUGCCGCGGUGAAUACGUUCCCGGGCCU